rnacentral:rRNA from 1 species
UACAGAGGUCUCAAGCGUUGUUCGGAUUCAUUGGGCGUAAAGGGUGCGUAGGCGGCGCGGUAAGUCGGGUGUGAAAUCUCGGAGCUUAACUCCGAAACUGCAUUCGAUACUGCCGUGCUUGAGGACUGGAGAGGAGACUGGAAUUUACGGUGUAGCGGUGAAAUGCGUAGAUAUCGUAAGGAAGACCAGUGGCGAAGGCGGGUCUCUGGACAGUUCCUGACGCUGAGGCACGAAGGCAGGGGGAGCAAACGGGAUU